GGGUGCGAUCAUACUAGUACUAAUACACCGAAUUCCAUCAGAACUCCGCAGUUAAGCGUGCUUGGUCAAAUUUGGUCAAAUUUACAUUCAAAUUUACAUUCA
rnacentral:rRNA from 1 species